rnacentral:rRNA from 1 species
UGAACGCUAGCGGCAGGCCUUAUACAUGCAAGUCGAACGGUAACAUUGGUGCUUGCACCAGAUGACGAGUGGCGCACGGGUGCGUAACGCGUAUGCAACCUACCUUUUACUAGAGUAUAGCCCAGAGAAAUUUGGAUUAAUCCUCUAUAAUAUCAUUUGAUUUCAUGAUUAAUUGAUUAAAGUUUUAACGGUAAAAGAUGGGCAUGCGUCCUAUUAGUUUGUAGGUGAGGUAACGGCUCACCUAGACUACGAUAGGUAGGGGCCCUGAGAGGGGGAUCCCCCACACUGGUACUGAGACACGGACCAGACUCCUACGGGAGGCAGCAGUAAGGAAUAUUGGACAAUGGACGAAAGUCUGAUCCAGCCAUGCCGCGUGCAGGAUGAAAGCCCUAUGGGUUGUAAACUGCUUUUAUACAGGAAGAAACACUCCGACGUGUCGGAGCUUGACGGUACUGUAAGAAUAAGGAUCGG